rnacentral:rRNA from 1 species
GAUGAACGCUAGCGACAGGCUUAACACAUGCAAGUCGAGGGGUAACAGGGUAGCAAUACCGCUGACGACCGGCGCACGGGUGAGUAACGCGUAUGCAACCUGCCUAUAACUGGGGAAUAGCUCCCUGAAAGGGGAAUUAACACCGCAUAACACUAUUGAUUCGCAUGGAUUGGUAGUUAAAUGUAGCGAUACAGGUUAUAGAUGGGCAUGCGUGACAUUAGCUAGUUGGUGAGGUAACGGCUCACCAAGGCUACGAUGUCUAGGGGUUUUGAGAGGAAGGUCCCCCAACUGGUACUGAGACACGGACCAGACUCCUACGGGAGGCAGCAGUGAGGAAUAUUGGUCAAUGGGCGCAAGCCUGAACCAGCCAUGUCGCGUGCAGGAAGACUGCCCUAUGGGUUGUAAACUGCUUUUAUAGUAGAAGAAACACAUCUACGCGUAGAUGUCUGCCAGUAUACUAUGAAUAAGCAUCGGCUAACC